CAGCAGCCACGGGAAUACGAAGGGUGCAAGCGUUAAUCGGAAUUACUGGGCGUAAAGGGUGCGUAGGCGGUGAGUUAAGUCUGUUGUGAAAUCCCCGGGCUUAACCUGGGAACUGCGCUUGUGACUGCACAGCUAGAGUAUGGCAGAGGGGGGUGGAAUUCCACGUGUAGCAGUGAAAUGCGUAGAGAUGUGGAGGAACACCGAUGGCGAAGGCAGCCCCCUGGGCCAAUACUGACGCUCAUGCACGAAAGCGUGGGGAGCAAACAGGAUUAGAUACCCCCGUAGUCCCUGUCUCUUAUAC
rnacentral:rRNA from 1 species